GAAGAGUAACAAAUGACAAGUUCUCAUUUCCCAUAUACUUGUGCUAUAUGGUUUAUGCUCCUCUUUACAUUGCUGGACCAAUCAUUAGCUUCAAUGCAUUUGCCUCGCAGAAGAGUAGGACAUGGAUACUUAAACAAAAGAGUAAUGUAGUACAACUGCUCAAUGCCAAAUUCUCUUCAACACAUGUUGGAUUCUCCCCAGAACAUAUACUCAUCCCGAGAUAUUGCUUGGUAUGGAUUCUGAUGGGUUUUUUGUCUUUCACUAAUGGAAGUCAUG